GACGAACGCUGGCGGCGUGCUUAACACAUGCAAGUCGAACGGAAAGUGCUCUUCGGAGUGACUCGAGUGGCGAACGGGUGAGUAACACGUGGGUGAUCUGCCCUGCACUUCGGGAUAAGCCUGGGAAACUGGGUCUAAUACCGGAUAGGACUCCUGGCUUCAUGGUUGGGGGUGGAAAGCUUUUGCGGUGUGGGAUGGGCCCGCGGCCUAUCAGCUUGUUGGUGGGGUAAUGGCCUACCAAGGCGACGACGGGUAGCCGGCCUGAGAGGGUGACCGGUCACACUGGGACUGAGAUACGGCCCAGACUCCUACGGGAGGCAGCAGUGGGGAAUAUUGCACAAUGGGCGCAAGCCUGAUGCAGCGACGCCGCGUGAGGGAUGACGGCCUUCGGGUUGUAAACCUCUUUCAGCUAUGACGAAGCGCAAGUGACGGUAGUAGCAGAAGAAGGACCGGCCAACUACGUGCCAGCAGCCGCGGUAA
rnacentral:rRNA from 1 species